rnacentral:rRNA from 1 species
UGCCAGACUCCUACGGGAGGCAGCAGUGGGGAAUAUUGCACAAUGGGGGAAACCCUGAUGCAGCGACGCCGCGUGAGUGAAGAAGUAUUUCGGUAUGUAAAGCUCUAUCAGCAGGGAAGAAGUUGACGGUACCUGAGUAAGAAGCCCCGGCUAACUACGUGCCAGCAGCCGCGGUAAUACGUAGGGGGCAAGCGUUAUCCGGAUUUACUGGGUGUAAAGGGAGCGUAGACGGCAGUGCAAGUCUGAAGUGAAAGCCCUGGGCUUAACCCGGGAAUUGCUUUGGAAACUGUACGGCUGGAGUGCUGGAGAGGUAAGCGGAAUUCCUAGUGUAGCGGUGAAAUGCGUAGAUAUUAGGAGGAACACCAGUGGCGAAGGCGGCUUACUGGACAGUAACUGACGUUGAGGCUCGAAAGCGUGGGGAGCAAACAGGAUUAGAUACCCCGGUAUU